GCUGGGCACAGUGGUGCAUGCCUGUAAUCCUAGCAACUCCAGGAGGCUGAGGCAGCAGGAUCACAAGUUUGAGACCAGCCUCAGCAACUUAUAAAGCUGUCUCAA
rnacentral:sRNA from 1 species